AUACGGAGGGUGCAAGCGUUAUCCGGAUUCACUGGGUUUAAAGGGUGCGUAGGUGGAAUGGUAAGUCAGUGGUGAAAUCUCCAAGCUUAACUUGGAAACUGCCGUUGAUACUAUCAUUCUUGAAUAUCGUGGAGGUGAGCGGAAUAUGUCAUGUAGCGGUGAAAUGCUUAGAUAUGACAUAGAACACCGAUUGCGAAGGCAGCUCACUACGCGAUUAUUGACACUGAGGCACGAAAGCGUGGGGAUCAAACAGGAUUAGAUACCCUGGUAGUCCACGCCCUAAACGAUGGAUACUCGACAUCAGCGAUACACUGUUGGUGUCUGAGCGAAAGCAUUAAGUAUCCCACCUGGGAAGUACGAUCGCAAGAUUGAA
rnacentral:rRNA from 1 species